GCUUCUAUCCCUGUCUACUACAUGUCUAAUAUUCUUUUUCCCAAGAAAUUUCUUUCAAAACUCACAGCAAUCAUUAGGAAGUUUUGGUGGACAGGGGUGAGAGAGGAGACCAAUGCUAAGUCCCUUUGCCUUAGAGCUUGGAAGGACAUUUGUUCUCCAAAGAAUGAAGGAGGGUUAGGGAUCAAGAACAUGCAAGCUACUAACAGAAGUUUGAUUCUGUCUGCAGCUUGGAGGAUUGUUGAUAAUCCUAACAGCCACAUCUCCAAAGUUCUCCAAUCAAAAUAUUUUCAUGAUACUUCAUUUUGGAAAGCUAGCCCUAGUGUUCCUAAAUCUGCUUUUUGGGAUGUUGUUCUCAAAGUCAGACCUAUGUUGCUCAAUAACUCUUUUUACCAACUCGUUUCUGGCAAUAUUUCUGUCUGGAGUUCUCCUUGGUAUAAUUCCUGGCAAGAUAUUUAUGAAAAUCUGAUUAUCCAACCGAGAGAAUAUGUUUAUCCUGCUUUGGUCAAAGAUCUUUGGUUUCCUAAUCAGAAAUUGUGGAAUGAUAAACCUCAUUGA
rnacentral:rRNA from 1 species